rnacentral:rRNA from 1 species
GAAAGCUUUUGCGUCUGAGGAUGGGUCUGCGGCCGAUUAGGUAGUUGCUGGGGUAACGUCCCAACAAGCCGAUAAUCGGUACGGGUUGUGAGAGCAAGAGCCCGGAGAUGGAUUCUGAGACACGAAUCCAGGUCCUACGGGGCGCAGCAGGCGCGAAAACUUUACACUGCGCGAAAGCGCGAUAAGGGGACCUCGAGUGCGUGCGCAAUGCGUACGCUUUUCAGAUGCCUAAAAAGCAUGUGGAAUAAGGGCCGGGCAAGACCGGUGCCAGCCGCCGCGGUAACACCGGCGGCUCAAGUGGUGGCCGCUAUUAUUGGGCUUAAAGGGUCCGUAGCCGGACCAGUUAGUCCCUUGGGAAAUCUUACGGCUUAACCGUAAGGCUGCCAAUGGAUACUGCUGGUCUUGGGACCGGGAGAGGUAAGAGGUACCUCAGGGGUAGGAGUGAAAUCCUGUAAUCCUUGAGGGACCGCCAGUGGCGAAGGCGUCUUACUAGAACGGGUCCGACGGUGAGGGACGAAAGCUAGGGGCACGAACCGGAUUAGAUACCCGGGUAGUCCUAGCCGUAAACGAUGCGAGCUAGGUGUCACGUGGAUUGCGAAUCCAUGUGGUGCCGAAGGGAAACCGUGAAGCUCGCCGCCUGGGAAGUACGGCCGCAAGGCUGAAACUUAAAGGAAUUGGCGGGGGAGCAC